rnacentral:piRNA from 1 species
UAGGCGCUUGUGAGAGAUGAAAGU